UAGUCCACGCCGUAAACGAUGAAUACUAGGUGUCGGGGGUCGAACCUCGGUGCCGCAGCUAACGCAUUAAGUAUUCCACCUGGGGAGUACGAUCGCAAGAUUGAAACUCAAAGGAAUUGACGGGGGCCCGCACAAGCGGUGGAGCAUGUGGUUUAAUUCGAAGCAACGCGAAGAACCUUACCAAAUCUUGACAUCCCGAUGACCGCCAUUUAAUUUGGCUUUUCUUCGGAACAUCGGUGACAGGUGGUGCAUGGUUGUCGUCAGCUCGUGUCGUGAGAUGUUGGGUUAAGUCCCGCAACGAGCGCAACCCUCACUUUUAGUAGCCAGCACGUAAUGGUGGGGACUCUAGAGGGACUGCCGAGGUCAACUCGGAGGAAGGUGGGGAUGACGUUAAAUCAUCAUGCCCCUUAUGAUUUGGGGCUACACACGUGCUACAAUGGUAGUUACAAAGGGGAAGCGAAGCCGCGAGGUGGGAGCAAACCCCAAAAAAGCUAUCCCAGUUCGGGAUUGUAGUCUGCAACUCGACUACA
rnacentral:rRNA from 1 species